rnacentral:rRNA from 1 species
AGAAUCAACGCUGGCGGCGUGCCUAACACAUGCAAGUCGCACGAGAAAGGGGGGCAAUCCCUGAGUACAGUGGCGCACGGGUGAGUAACACGUGAAUUAUCUACCUCCGAGUGGGGAAUAACUGAGAGAAAUCUUAGCUAAUACCGCAUAAUACCCACGGGUCAAAGCAGCAAUGCGCUUGGAGAGGGAGUUCGCGGCAGAUUAGUUAGUUGGCGGGUAAUGGCCCACAAGACGAUGAUCUGUAUCCGGCCUGAGAGGGCGCACGGACACACUGGAACUGAAACACGGUCCAGACUCCUACGGGAGGCAGCAGGUGGGGAAUUUUGCGCAAGUGGGGGAAACCCUGACGCAGCAACGCCGCGUGGAGGAUGAAGCCCCGUUGGGUGUAAACUCCUUUCGAUCGGGAAGAUAAUGACGGUACCGAUAUAAGAACGCCCGGCUAACUUCGCGCCAGCAGCCGC